AGAGUUUGAUUCCUGGCUCAGGACGAACGCUGGCGGCGUGCCUAAUACAUGCAAGUCGAACGCUUUUUCUUUCACCGGAGCUUGCUCCACCGAAAGAAAAAGAGUGGCGAACGGGUGAGUAACACGUGGGUAACCUGCCCAUCAGAAGGGGAUAACACUUGGAAACAGGUGCUAAUACCGUAUAACACUAUUUUCCGCAUGGAAGAAAGUUGAAAGGCGCUUUUGCGUCACUGAUGGAUGGACCCGCGGUGCAUUAGCUAGUUGGUGAGGUAACGGCUCACCAAGGCAACGAUGCAUAGCCGACCUGAGAGGGUGAUCGGCCACACUGGGACUGAGACACGGCCCAGACUCCUACGGGAGGCAGCAGUAGGGAAUCUUCGGCAAUGGACGAAAGUCUGACCGAGCAACGCCGCGUGAGUGAAGAAGGUUUUCGGAUCGUAAAACUCUGUUGUUAGAGAAGAACAAGGAUGAGAGUAAAGUGUUCAUCCCUUGACGGUAUCUAACCAGAAAGCCACGGCUAACUACGUGCCAGCAGCCGCGGUAAUACGUAGGUGGCAAGCGUUGUCCGGAUUUAUUGGGCGUAAAGCGAGCGCAGGCGGUUUCUUAAGUCUGAUGUGAAAGCCCCCGGCUCAACCGGGGAGGGUCAUUGGAAACUGGGAGACUUGAGUGCAGAAGAGGAGAGUGGAAUUCCAUGUGUAGCGGUGAAAUGCGUAGAUAUAUGGAGGAACACCAGUGGCGAAGGCGGCUCUCUGGUCUGUAACUGACGCUGAGGCUCGAAAGCGUGGGGAGCGAACAGGAUUAGAUACCCUGGUAGUCCACGCCGUAAACGAUGAGUGCUAAGUGUUGGGAGGGUUUCCGCCCUUCAGUGCUGCAGCAAACGCAUUAAGCACUCCGCCUGGGGAGUACGACCGCAAGGUUGAAACUCAAAGGAAUUGACGGGGCCCGCACAAGCGGUGGAGCAUGUGGUUUAAUUCGAGCACGCGAGACCUUACAGGUCUUGGACAUCUUUGACCACUCUAGAGAUAGAGCUUCCCCUCGGGCAAAGUGACAGUGGUGCAUGGAUGUCGUCAGCUCGUGUCUGAAAUGUUAGGUAGUCCCGCAACGAGCGCCACCUUUAUUGUUAGCUUGCCU
rnacentral:rRNA from 1 species